rnacentral:rRNA from 1 species
CAAUAGCGUAUAUUAAAGUUGUUGCAGUUAAAAAGCUCGUAGUUGGAUUUCUGGUCGGAGCGACCGGUCGGCGUCCUUUGUGGCGUGUGCACUGUUGUCGGCUCCGUCCAUCCUAGUGGGAAGGCGCGUGGGCAUUCAUUUGUUCGCGCGUGGCCCCGCUACGUUUACUGUGAAAAAAUUAGGUGUUAGUUCAAGGCGCGUUCGCUGUGAAUACAUUAGCAUGGAAUAAUGAGAUAGGACUUUGGCGUCUAUUUUGUUGGUUUGCACACCAAGGUAAUGAUUAAUAGGGAUAGUUGGGGGUAUUCGUAUUUAAUUGUCAGAGGUGAAAUUCUUGGAUUUAUGAAAGACGAACUUCUGCGAAAGCAUUUACCAAAGAUGUUUUCAUUAAUCAAGAACGAAAGUUAGGGGAUCGAAGACGAUCAGAUACC